rnacentral:lncRNA from 1 species
GUGAAUGCAUGCCUAGCUAUGUGCUCCUGCUGCCUCAAUGGGAGAAAGAAAUUGCAGCUGGGGGUGAAUUCUAGGAGACAGAGGCGACAAUGGGGCAGCGGGUCAGUUAAAACGAAAGUGCUGAAGCUCCAGAGAGUCGUGCCACGCAGCCAUGGGCUGCACCUCGAUCAGCUUUUGGUUCAUACAGCUGACUACAUCUUGCAGUUGAGGUUGCAAGUUAGUGUUCUGGAGGAUCUUGUCAAAUUCCAUGAGCCAUGAGGCCUUAUGCAUGCGUUUCUGUACUGAUGAAAAAUCUUUUGUUUUCUCCUUAUUGUAAAAUUUCCUCCAUAAUUCUACUUCAUUUUCAUGAAUGUGGAGUGAUAGUCAUAUAUUGGCGCACCAAGCCCUGCAAUCUCACCAUAUCCAUAUAGCUUUUGAGAGGACAAAAAAUUUAGCCAAUUCAAUGGGAAAUCAUUGCUUCACCUUAUUUCUGUUGAUUAAUCUGCAAAACCAUGCAUGUUCAAAAAAUGUAUUUUCAAAUCACAAGUUACUUCUUUUUUUCUCAUUUCAACCACUUCCAGAAGGGUAGGGACAAAGGGUCAAAACACAAGUACCAGUAUAAAUAAUGGUUUUAGUGUUUUUUCUUGAUAUUUUAAUGAUUGAUCUAAACAAAUUAUUGAACGUACAGAUUUAACAAAAGGAAUCAAAUAUUGGGUUAAAAAAUGUAAUUAAAAGCAGAAAAUUCUUGAACUGAUAUGUUCAUGUUAAUGCCUACCUUGCAGUCUUUGCUGUUUUCCUUUUUUUUUUUCGGUUGAGCAACAGAAAGAACUACAUUUACAAACUACGCCACCCAGAGAAAAAAGGUACCUUCAUCAUUGAGUGAAGAAGCAAUAGGACAAAGAACAAGAUCACACCAUCACCAUUACUGAAGCCCAAUAAAGCUCCUUCCGUUUCUUCCUCUUCUCCAACGACACCUCGUCCUCCAUUCUCACCCCAGCAACACUAAAGACAACCCAGAAGAGAAAAAGAAACAAAAAGGGUUAUGUUACUGCUUUGACAUCAGAGAAGAAAGCUUUAAAAGCUUUGGUUCAUUGCGCAGACAGAGAAAGAAGAAAACAGGCGUUUGGCGUGUUUGGUAUGCAGAAGCACUGUUGGAUCAUUCAAUUUCUGUUUUGUUUUUCUCUUUUUAAGGCAGAAGUUCAUGUUUCCUUGUCAAAACCAAUUUAAUAAAUUUCCAUAUUGUUAAGAUUACUGUACAAAUUAUCCAGACAGAGUUAUAAUAGAUAAUUUGUAUAUUUAUUUUAACAGAUAUGAAAUAUUGGAGCAUAUGAUUACAAUUCUUCUCGAC